GGAGGAUUACCCAAGUCUGGCUGAAGGGAACGGUCUUGAAAACCGUCAGGCGGGUCAAACCGCGCGAGAGUUCGAAUCUCUCAUCCUCCU
rnacentral:tRNA from 4 species